GCUUGUCUCAAAGAUUAAGCCAUGCAUGUCUAAGUAUAAACGAUUUUAUACGUGAAACUGCGAAUGGCUCAUUAUAUCAGUUAUAGUUUAUUUGAUGGUCCUUACUAUUUGGAUAACCGUAGUAAUUCUAGAGCUAAUACAUGCAUCAAGCCCUGACUUCGGAAGGGGUGUAUUUAUUAGAUGGAAACCAAUGCGGGGCAACCCGGAAUAUGGUGAUUCAUAAUAACUUCUCGGACCGCAUGGCCUCGUGCUGGCGGUGCUUCAUUCAAAUAUCUGCCCUAUCAACUGUCGAUGGUAGGAUAGAGGCCUACCAUGGUUGCAACGGGUAACGGGGAAUAAGGGUUCGAUUCCGGAGAGGGAGCCUGAGAAACGGCUACCACAUCCAAGGAAGGCAGCAGG
rnacentral:rRNA from 1 species